rnacentral:lncRNA from 1 species
GGGGCUGUGAUAUAAUUAUACAUUUUGGACUAUAUUUAGAUCUACGACAAAUUACUUUUUUCUUUUGGAAGGACACCUAAAAAUUAUUUUUCAUUACCACCUAGGUACUAACAAAAGAACAGAUUUAUUAUUUUCUUGUAUGCUUUAAUAGAAAAAAAUAGUUAUUAUAUCUAAUAUCUAUAGCUUGUUGGUGUCAUUUUCUUCAUGGGUUUUACUUGCUAUAUUUACCUUCAACUAGAGCGAACCACAUCCACGGUCGUGUUACAACAAACGGGUCACAUGUGAAAUGUCACAUACUAAAUUUAAAUUCUCUUUGUAUAAGUAAUUCAAUAUUUUCUUUGUAUAAGUAACUCAAUAUAAGUAAUUCAAUAUAAUUCAAAACAAAAGAAAGUAAUUCAAUAUUUUGAUUCUUAAAUAG